CUAAUUUGACAAUUAUCAAAUUAUUUGAACCCUUAAUUCAAUUGAAAUAGUGCAAAUUCAAAAUAUCACAUGCUAAAUAUAAAAAAAUGUUUGUUUGUUUUUUUUAAGAAAAUUGCCCUUUCAACAAAGAAUUGGUGUCAUGUUUACUCUGGUUGCAACACAAGAAGCCAUUAUGGACUCAGGUUUUGUGUGUUGAGUCUCUCCCUUUUCACAGAGGUUGGGCAGCUCUUACAGUUUUUCUCUGUCACUUUGGUGCAUUUCGCACAUCAGUAUUUACAUUUGCACAACAGUAAGUGCACUUCUCAAAACAAUUAGUACAAACUGCAAAAUUUAGUGGAUAACCUGCAAAAGCGUGUCAUUUGCUCAAAAUGAAUGGUUAAUUCCUCAGAAGCAAGUAUUUAUGUCAAUGAAAGUGUCUGUGUCAUUAAAAUAAUUAGUCCUGACAUCAUUGUUUAUAAACAUAACAGUCAAAUGGCUUUGUCAUGUUUUCAUCAUGACAGUUUACACUUUCUGUGUUUUCCAAUGCAAAAAAGUCAGAUCUUGAUGACACUACCUGAAAAUGCUCAAGACGGCACUAUACACUACCUGUACAGCCAUUUGAAAACUACAGUAAAGUUACACAUUAUUGUAUUUAGUGAGGUAACUGAGUACAAGACAUGUUUGUUUCACAUAUUUACUGCAUGCUCUUUGCAAUUCUACAGCAUUGUGAAAAAAAAAUCACAGCCACUUAUUUAGAACAAACACAAAAAAUACCAUUUUGGUAGAACUGUGCACAAAUGUAAACAAUAUAACAGUAGGUAUUACUGUAAAUGAUGUUGACCUUCCAUUUUUGUGUCACAGAAUUGUAGAAAUGACACACACUAUGUCCUGCUGGUUUACAUAUGCUUGCCAAGUGAGGGUUCAUGGGAUUCAGCUCUGAGUGACUGUGGACAAGUGGCUUGUCAUUGGUUACAACUAAUGCUUCACACACCUCCUCAUGAGUGAAAGCUUAGGUUCACCUGAGAGCAAUCAUUCAAUUUAGGAGACAUUUUGAACACUAGUUCAACAAUUUUGUGUGUAAUGACUCAAGCAAUGAAAUGAGGACUAUUAGUUUCAUAGGGAAUGGCUAUUCAGCAUUCAUAAGUAUGUUUCAUUUUGACUGACAUGACAGAAGAAAAUGAUAAUGUUAUAAAACAGCAGAGAAUUGUAUGAAAGUCACUGGUACAUGUCCAAGAGCAUUUGCAAUUUGUUCAGAGGAAUGAGAAACUGCUACGAUUAAGUGCACAAAUGACUCAAUGUUGUGGAGGUUGAACUAAUAUUUGUGAGAACUUUGUUUCUGAUCUGACAAAUGCACCAAAGCGACUGAGAAAAACUAAUCAGCACUGGCUCCUCAUGCACCUUCGCACACCUGCACCUGAUCACCGCCUGCUUUUAAGCUCUGCCGGGAAGACUGCAGAUAACCAGACGAUUCCAGCUCUCUCAGCGGUAUCUUGGCCGGUCUGUAGCAAAGUGAUUGUGACUUCGAUUAAUUUUUACCUGUGUUUGAGAGUAUCUGUGACUACUCUCUGCUCCCCUCCUUUUCUCCCCCAGUGCCUCUGCUUACCACCAGCACUGCUCAACCUCUGAGUCUUCCAUGACUGCCACACUCUUUCAUAAGCCCUCACUCUACCUCCCCCCUCCCCACCGAGGAUCUCCUUCACUCUCUGACCCUGGACCCCAGAGCUCACUUCCACAACUGUCUAGUUCUCAAUAAAGGCCCUGUUUAUACGUACCCAGUUAUUUUUAAAAACGGAGACAUUAACCAUCGUUUGUACCCUUCGUUUGGAAGAAAACAGAGAAUUCGCCCCUGAAAAGCAUGCUUUUAAAAACACCAGUCAGAGUGGACAUUUUGGAAAACUCUGUUUGCAUGUAAACAGAGAUUUGGCUAGCCGACGACAGAUUGUUCACAGGAAAGAAGAAAGGCUCGUUUUCUUUUUCUUCUUCUUCUGGAUCCAGGAAUUUUUUGAAGGAUUCUUUAUCAUUGUGAGAUAGGGCAAAUUUUGGAAUUUUUGCAUUUCACUCUAUAAAAAUG